AUUGAACGCUGGCGGCAGGCUUAACACAUGCAAGUCGAACGAGUGGCGGACGGGUGAGUAAUGCUUGGGAAUCUAGCUUAUGGAGGGGGAUAACUACGGGAAACUGUAGCUAAUACCGCGUACCCUAGGGUGAGCCCAAGUGGGAUUAGCUAGUAGGUGGGGUAAAGGCUCACCUAGGCGACGAUCUCUAGCUAGUCUGAGAGGAUGACCGGCCACACUGGGACUGAGACACGGCCCAGACUCCUACGGGAGGCAGCAGUGGGGAAUAUUGCGCAAUGGGCGCAAGCCUGACGCAGCCAUGCCGCGUGAAUGAAGAAGGCCUUCGGGUUGUAAAGUUCUUUCGUCAGCGAGGCGUUACCCGCAGAAGAAGCACCGGCUAACUCCGUGCCAGCCGCCGCGGUAAUUC
rnacentral:rRNA from 1 species